CACGUAGGGUGCGAGCGUUGUCCGGAAUUAUUGGGCGUAAAGAGCUCGUAGGCGGUGUGUCGCGUCGGCCGUGAAAACCUGCAGCUUAACUGUGGGCUUGCGGUCGAUACGGGCAUCACUGGAGUUCGGUAGGGGAGACUGGAAUUCCUGGUGUAGCGGUGAAAUGCGCAGAUAUCAGGAGGAACACCGGUGGCGAAGGCGGGUCUCUGGGCCGAUACUGACGCUGAGGAGCGAAAGCGUGGGGGAGCGAACAGG
rnacentral:rRNA from 1 species